GAUGAACGCUGGCGGCGUGCCUAAUACAUGCAAGUCGAGCGAACAGACGAGGAGCUUGCUCCUCUGACGUUAGCGGCGGACGGGUGAGUAACACGUGGAUAACCUACCUAUAAGACUGGGAUAACUUCGGGAAACCGGAGCUAAUACCGGAUAAUAUAUUGAACCGCAUGGUUCAAUAGUGAAAGACGGUUUUGCUGUCACUUAUAGAUGGAUCCGCGCCGCAUUAGCUAGUUGGUAGGGUAACGGCUUACCAAGGCGACGAUGCGUAGCCGACCUGAGAGGGUGAUCGGCCACACUGGAACUGAGACACGGUCCAGACUCCUACGGGAGGCAGCAGUAGGGAAUCUUCCGCAAUGGGCGAAAGCCUGACGGAGCAGCGCCGCGUGAGUGAUGAAGGUCUUCGGAUCGUAAAACUCUGUAAUUAGGGAAGAACAAAUGUGUAAGUAACUAUGCACGUCUUGACGGUACCUAAUCAGAAAGCCACGGCUAACCACGUG
rnacentral:rRNA from 1 species